UACGUAGGGGGCUAGCGUUAUCCGGAAUUACUGGGCGUAAAGGGUGCGUAGGUGGUUUCUUAAGUCAGAGGUGAAAGGCUACGGCUCAACCGUAGUAAGCCUUUGAAACUGGGGAACUUGAGUGCAGGAGAGGAGAGUGGAAUUCCUAGUGUAGCGGUGAAAUGCGUAGAUACUAGGAGGAACACCAGUUGCGAAGGCGGCUCUCUGGACUGUAACUGACACUGAGGCACGAAAGCGUGGGGAGCAAACAGG
rnacentral:rRNA from 1 species